UACUAGGGGUGCAAGCGUUGUCCGGAAUUACUGGGCGUAAAGGGUGCGUAGGCGUCUACGUAAGUUGUUUGUUAAAUCCAUCGGCUUAACCGGUGAUCUGCAAACAAAACUGCAUAGAUAGAGUUUGGAAGAGGAAAGCGGAAUUCCUGGUGUAGCGGUGACAUGCGUAGAUAUCAGGAGGAACACCAAAAGCGAAGGCAGCUUUCUGGUCCAUAACUGACGCUGAAGCACGAAAGCGUGGGGAGCAAAC
rnacentral:rRNA from 1 species